rnacentral:rRNA from 1 species
AACGAACGCUGGCGGCAGGCCUAACACAUGCAAGUCGAGCGAAGCCUUCGGGCUUAGCGGCGGACGGGUGAGUAACGCGUGGGAACGUGCCCUUUGGUACGGAAUAGCCCCGGGAAACUGGGAGUAAUACCGUAUGUGGUCGAGAGACGAAAGAUUUAUCGCCAAAGGAUCGGCCCGCGUUGGAGUAGGUAGUUGGUGGGGUAAUGGCCUACCAAGCCGACGAUCCAUAGCUGGUUUGAGAGGAUGAUCAGCCACACUGGGACUGAGACACGGCCCAGACUCCUACGUGAGGCAGCCGUGGGGAAUCUUAGACAAUGGGGGAAACCCUGAUCUAGCCAUGCCGCGUGAUCGAUGAAGGCCUUAGGGUUGUAAAGAUCUUUCAGUGGGGAAGAUAAUGACUGUACCCACAGAAGAAGCCCCGGCUAACUCCGUGCCAGCCGCCGCAGUAAAAC